GCCUGCUGUUGUCCAGGAGCGCACGUGCGCGGCGGGGGGGCUGCGAGGGGUACGCAGCUCGCUUUCCCCUGGCCGCGAGGGCCAGCGGGGCGCUGGAAGGGGGCCGGAGUGCAACCCCGGGGGGGUUCGGGCAAGGUCGGCUGCCUUGGCUUCUGCAUUGUGCUGCGGUGAAAAAAUAAAAAACCUGCCGCAGCAGCAGUUACGCCAGGAAGAGACAUCUUCGGAGACCACAGCAGUGGCUCCUCUGCACUCCCAGCUGACCCCUGGAUACUGUCACCGCGCGGCGGAGAGGGGGUGUUGGCGCAAGUCAGGAAGCUCCUGGUCUCUCCAUCACUUGCGCAAUUCGGGCUAAAAUCUUCUCGCAUCGGUUAUUAUUUGGAAUCUGGGCCUAAAAGUUUUUUCGGUUGUCUUCUUCAUUCAGAGUUAUGGACCUGAAGAUUGGAAGUGACCUGGCAAGGGAGAAGAAGGACAAGCAAGAGUGAAAGAGUAGCAAACCCUGAAGUGGUUCCAAGGGUUUACCUCGUGACCACAGAGACCCAUCUCUGCCAGAGAGGAACAAGCAUGCAGAGAAGAAUUCAAUAGCCUGGGUUGUUCCUGGGAUUGGUGAGCUUUAAAAUCUCCUGUGAUGUCAAGAAGAGGAAAGCCUUCACAUCCCAGGUUUGGCCAUCACAUCCCCGAAUUCAGCUGCAUUGGCUGAAUGUUAAAUGGUUUAUGCCCAGCUAGUGGGAAGGUGAAUAAUACGUAAAGGAGCUGGGAUCUACACAUAACGUUGGAUGACACAGACAUUGUACUUCAGAGUCUCGAAGCAUUUUGACUCUAAAUCUUCACACCCGCCAUACCCAUCUACAUAUCUGCUUUUGAAUAGUCGGCCAGAUAGUAGCUCCUUUGCGGGUGUCCUACGUAGGGUGCCUCUCCACUUGCAGAAUUCUAGAUGUCAACUGCCCCGGACUGUGACCUUGGGCCAUUCCUAUUCCUUUUCUACACUCCCUCCCAGGGCAGUCUCCUCCAGCCCUAGGCUUUAAAUAGCCUCCAUUCACUGAUGUAUAUCUUUAACCCUGACCUCUCACCAGUACUCCAGGCUCGUAUAUCCAGCUGCCUCC
rnacentral:lncRNA from 1 species